AAAUAAGUUUAAUUUAGAAUAACAAUAAGUUAGCGCCGCCCUGUAUCUGCUUGCAUCAUUGCAGACAGCUGGAGAUUUUGAGGAAGCUGCUCUGGGGAGAGCACGGCUGAUGAAGCUGCUUCUGUUGUGCCGUCUAAAAAGCCCUAAAACAGAAAAAUAGAUUAGAAAGGACAUAACUUAAAGUUGGAUUUCAGAGAUAAGAGACAGAGAUUUGGAAAUAGAAGUGUGGAUUGAACGUUGUCGAGUCAAACGAUCGUGCAUGAGUGCCAACACGGAUUCGACAACGGGAAAAAAAAAAAAAACUUCUUAAAACCGGAGUUUUUGCUGUUCAGGAAACUUUCUUUUAAUUUAAAUCAAGUUCUCUUGGUUGGGUUUUUUUUUUUUGGAACCCCUUUUUCCGAUUUUUCUUUUCUCUCUCUUUUUCUAUCUAUCUUCCCCGGAGUUGGAUGCUGAUCACAUUUUGCUCAAUAUUUGAUGAUUUCCAAAGAGGAUUCUGAACUCAUUGUCCCUGCCUCACGCUAGAAGGUGUCAAUGAGGUGCAGGAACUGGCGAGCCAUAACCAUAUAAGGACUGAACCUUGGAUCAGGAUCUGAAAAUCAACGGAGUGGUAGGAUUGUGCAUUUUCGCAUGAACUGUGUUGUUCAGAACUGAGUUACGUGAAAAGGACAAGAAUUCUGGGGAAGCAGUGUCACUACACUGACACUGAAUUGAAUGUAAUCUCAACUUAUAUUGAGACUGGUAUUGUAAAUGUCAAUUUGAUUUAAUGUGAUUAUCAUUUUUUUAUAUUUUAUUGUAUUUUGUUUUCUUUAAAAAAAAAUAUUUUUUGGUUGUUUUCAAAAGAGGACAAAGAACAUUUGAAAAGAGGUAUUUCAAGAGGUUACUAAUGAACAAUUAUAUUUAAUAAUUAGCAAAAUGGAAUCAAUAAACUAAUUAUGAAUAAGCUAAUUUCUAAAUUAUCUAAAUGAGAAAAUAAAGGUUAGUUAAAUUUAUUAAUUUGAGUUUAAAUAGGUCAAAAGGAAUUAAAAAUAGCCAAUAGUAGUUAAAAUAGGGAACUAAUUAAUAAUAAAUUACAAGAAAGGAUAUAUUUCAGAGUCUAAAUUGGGAGAAGUCAUUAUAGUCUCAUGUAUUAUGUUGUGAUGUUGUUUUAAUUUACUGUUUUGUUCUUCAGUACAUCUUACCUGUUUCUACUACAGCCAGUGUUGUCAUUUCCUUCCCCCUUUGUUGUCGAGCCUGUCUCUUGAGCCAAUUAAUCUCCUGAUAACUGGUCCAUAUCUGAAAUUAGUGCAUCCUCCUUGUGCUCACUUCCAUUGGUCGAAGGGUGCGAGAGAGGAUUGCACUCGCAUCACAGCACGGGUUACAUAUUACUCACCUGCAUGCCUAAAGAACACACUUUUUUAACAGUGUGUUCUUCAUAAAAUGCAGUACAUACUCGGGCAGUACGCAAAUUCGGAUGCAGCCACCCAUUACUUUUGUGAUUUAAUUUGGUGAUGCUAGUAGUGCAGAAACGACACACAUCACCUUCAACAUCAAUACACUCAUGCAGUAUACUUAAUGGAUUUUUGCUGCUGUUUAUAUGCUUUUGAAAUGCGAAUUACUUAGAUUUUUGGGUGUGAUUUGUCAAAUUACUAUACAGCAAUUUGUCUAAAAUUAUUAGAAACAAAUAUUCUUUGUUUGGUAACGAAUAUGACAAAAUUAACAAAGCACCAGUUUGGAGUGUGACUGUGAAUAUUUUUUUAAGUUUAUAUGAAUUUUAAUAGCUGUAAUGAAUACACUGACUGUAAGAUUUGACAUAUGAUAAAGAAGAAACUGUUUUUUAGUCAACAGUGUGUUUCCACUGGGAUGUUGGCAGAGAGAUUUUCCCACAAUCGUUUUUUAAUUGCUCUUUGAUCAGUCUCAUUCUUUCCAGUUUCUCUCUCUCCUUGCCUCUCUUUAACAUCUACAUUAUUACCACUUUUAAGUUUGCUAUUAGUUGCAAAACAACUGAUAUUUUGGCUUUAACAUAUCUCCCUGUUAUCUCAUUGAGAACCCUUGAAGACAAGCAAAAUGUCUGUGCUUUCCUUUCACUCAUACAUAAUAUCACCAUCUGCUCCAAACUAUAAGAAUCUAUAAAUAUUGAAAGUUCUUAUUUGCAGAUGAAUUUGCAGUAAUCAUCACUUAGUCCCACAUAUGAAAUUAAAUGGUGAUAUUCCUCCGUUACACAACGCAACGAAACGAACCGAAGGCCUCUCACUCAGAUGAAAGAAAUAAGGAAUGCUUCAUAAUUUAAUAACACUGAGAUCCUGAUGUUAAUGAGUUAUUAACAAGAUUUAUUUAACGAUUUUAGAAUUAUGCAGCAGGGUAAUGGGGCAUAUCUUAGGGAAAUUUGUACAUUAUUAUUAAGAUGUAAAUUGCAACCUAAAAAAAAAAAGCUAUUGAGGAGGGAGAUAAACGUAAUAUUUGUAGCUGUCUUACUUUCAAAUUCAACUACUGCAGAAAGUAUAAUUUUAAUGGGAUUGGUAGAAAGAAUCUAAUGAGUGAUUAAGGAACUAGUCUAGUCAUCCAAAAAGAGGGUAGAAAAGGUUAUUGGAUUGUUCCCCUUAAACGGCCUUUUAAUUUAAUGAAGCUGUCUGGAGUGCUAAAUUACACCCUCAUUUAUAAUCACCACUUGGAAGAGAAUGUCAAACACAGUAAGUUGCUUCUUUAGUUGAUUUAGUUUAUUUAUUUUGUUCAUUUUAGUUUGUUGCUGCAGUGUUUUGCAUGCUUUCUGUUGUUGUAGUAAAUUUAGUUUUAUUUUAUGCUUUUUUUGUAUAUACAUUUUUGUUUUUGUGUUUUUCUCUGCUUAAAGGUAAUUUGUUUUUAGGAACAAUACACUACUUAGAUGUUUUGGUUUUAUUGUAUUACAAUUUUUAUUUGUUUUAUUUUUUGUUGACUUCAUAUUAUUUAUUUAUUAUUUGUGUUUAUUGAUGCUUUCUUCUGAGAAGUAGUUUCUAUAUGCAAAAAAAAAAAAAAAAAACAACAACAAAAAAACAGGUGAAUAAUGAGGCCCUUCCAUGUUUUCCAUGGAAACCCUGAAAAAACUGUCAAGUUUCAAACUCUUUCAUACAUCUCAUGUGGGGUCUGCACUGCAGCUGUCAAAGAAGCACUUUAAACUGAGAUCUUUUAGCAGCACACAUUGUAUAUCCGGCAAAAUAAGCCAGUUUUGAGAGCUAUUUUCAAUGACACCAACUCAAAAGAGCACUGUGCUGAAUAAAUAAGAAUGCUGGAAACAA